GGGCGCGUUGGGGCGGGAAGGCGGCCGCAGGGCUGGCAAUGGAAAGCGGGGAGCGGGAAAUGCGCGGGGAGGAGACUCGGGUACAGGGUGACUGGGGAAGGCACGAACCCACAGCGCGGGAAGAGCUCGGGCCAGUGGGAUGGUGCCCUUGCCGCUGACGCGCUCUUGUACUAGUUGCUCUGCUGGUCUUAAGUAGAUCGUCAGGGUCCGUGCGCCUCUGAGUGCCGUCUCUCCUAGGAGGGGUCUAUAGAAACUGGGCCGACGCGCGCGCACCAGGGCAGACACCCCCAGCCCUAGUCCGGUGGCUGUAGCCCCCCGCGGCUCUGGAGUGGUGCGCUCGCAGUGUAGGAGGAAUGAAUGGCGGCGUCGCGGGGGGCGCCCUGGGCUGCGGGUGACGCGGGGAAGCUCGGAGCACCUGAGGACGCGGAGCGCGCCAGUGUGUGCCCCGAGGGAGUGCGGUAGAGAUGGAGGGUGCCCCCCGCCCUCGUUGCUUUGGACCACGGUCUCCGGGAUGAGGGCCACAGCUGGAGGUGGAGGCCCAGCCUGGAGUGAGAGGAGCCCUGAAACUGGAAGGACAAUAAAGGCGGAAGACUGGGGUCACUGGAAGAGAGUCCAGAAAAUUCCACAUACACUGGAAGUUGUCCAGUAAUGGGUUCCAAUCCUGACUCCCACUUUCUCAGUGACCUUGAACUGAAGGACCCAUAAUCAUGGUUUUAAAAAAUUAAUUCGUUUGUACUUAAAACAUUUUAGGAGGCCGGGCUCAGUGGCUCACGCCUGCAAUACCAGCACUUUGGGAGGCCGAGGUGGGUGGAUCACCUGAGGUCAGGAGUUUGAGACCAGCCUGAUCAACAUGGCAAAACCCUGUCUCUACUAAAAAUACAAAAAAAAUUAGCCAGGUGUGGCACACACCUGCAGUCCCAGCUACUUGGGAGGCUGAGGCACAAGAACCGCUUGACCUAGGGUGGCAAAGGUGGCAGUUGGCGGACAUUGGGCCAUUGCACUCCAGCCUGGGUGACAAAGCGAGGCGAGACUCCGUCUCAAUAAAAGAAAGAGAGAGAGAGAGAGAGAGAGAGAGAGAGAGAGAGAGAGAGAGAGAGAAAGGAAGGAAGGAAGGAAAAAAAUUUUAGGAAAAUUAAGAAAAUCACAUAACAUCUUUUUUUUUUUUUUUUUUUUUGACACGGAGUCUUGCUCCGUUGCCCAGGCUGGAGUGCAAUGGCGCGAUCUUGGCUCACCAUAACCUCUACCUCCCAGGUUCAAGCGAUUCUCCUGCCUCAGCCUCC
rnacentral:lncRNA from 10 species